rnacentral:lncRNA from 1 species
UUGUUGUGUCUCUAAACAGGCAUGAACAGAUUGUGAUGGUGAGUCGUGGAAGUCGCAUAACUCCCUUCAUAUCUAUAAUCCGUGAUCUCAUAUUUCAAAGCUAACAACAAGAAUUUCAACCUCCAAAACUCCUACUUGUUUGUAUUUUCAAAAACUAUGUUGACGUUCAUAGUUAAACCGCUGGUUCUGUUUAUGCUGCAAACGUUUAUACUGUGGUAAAAUAAGGAUAAAUUAUGGUUGCGGACUGCAAUUUAAAACUAUUGGAGCAGGCGGAGUAGUGAAAAGUAAAACCUAGCCGCUCUGCUCCUAGGAAUGUAAUCACACUGUCCGACCUUUAUAAAUCUAGCCUGUUUUUGUUUUACAUUUUACUCGGUCUUUCUUCAGAUUUCGGUUUCUAUUUUCACAACAAAACAAUUUUCAAUUGAAAGCUAAUUUAUCAUCAUUCUAUCUCUAAAACAGGCAUGAGCAGAUUGUGAUGGUGAGUGGCGGAAGUGGCGUAACUCCCUUCAUAUCUAUAAUCCGAGAUCUCAUAUUUCAAAGCCAACAACAAGAAUUCCAACCUCCAAAACUCCUACUUGUUUGUAUUUUCAAAAACUACGCUGAUCUAACCAUGUUAGAUCUUAUGCUUCCUAUUUCUGGUUUAAAAACUCGAAUCUCUCAGCUUCAGUUACAAAUUGAAGCUUACAUCACAAGAGAAAAACAAGAACCUUCAAAAGAUACUCAAAAACAAAUCCAAACGAUAUGGUUUAAAACAAACCUCUCUGAUUGUCCUAUCUCAGCUGUAUUAGGCCCAAAUAACUGGUUAUGGCUUGGUGCUAUAAUCACAUCAUCGUUCGUCAUGUUUCUCCUCUUUUUAGGAAUUGUUACUCGUUACUAUAUUUAUCCGAUUGAAAAUAACUCAGGUGAAGUAUAUAACUGGACCUACGGGGUUAUGUGGUACAUGUUUUCAUUUUGUUCAUGUAUAUGUAUAUGUUCUAGUGUUGUUUUUCUUUGGUUGAAGAGAUUAAACAAAUUAGAAAAUAAGCAUAUAAUGAAUGUAGAAGUUUCAACACCAGCAAGAUCACCAGGGUCAUGGAUUUAUGGUUCAGAAAGAGAGCUUGAGAGCCUUCCUCAUCAAUCUUUAGUGCAAGCUACCAAUGUACAUUUUGGCUCAAGACCUGAUCUCAAGAGUAAGUGAGGCAGGGUAAUUUUGUAAAUUUUAUUAAGUUUUUUUUUGUUUUGUGUAAAUUGAGUAUCUUCCGCACACAACUGCAGAGACUUAUCUCUUGCUAUGUAUCUUGUAUCAAUGAGAUGGCAAUUGAUGAUAUUCAGAAUUUGUUAAUUUUGCAGAAAUUCUGUUUGAGUGUGAAGGCAAAGAUGUUGGAGUUAUGACUUGUGGUCCAAGAAAAAUGAGACAUGAAGUUGCUAGAAUAUGUGCUUCUGGUUUGGCUGAUAAUCUUCACUUCGAAUCAAUCAGCUUUAAUUGGUGAUCUACAAUGUACAUGUCGCAUAUAUAUGCCUUUUACUAUCCUCUAAAACGUUCAUGUUGAUUCCUCUAUGUUAUUAUAAUUAGGCAAUCGUGAACAAGUGCAAUUGCACAAGUGUGCCUGUACAUGAAUUAAUGUAUAUUUUCCUCUAUGUUUUUCAUGUUUAUAUGUUUUGAUGGAUGAAUGAUUUAAUUUUCCUAAUCCACUUGGUUUUUUAAUGUUUGUUGGUGAAGCAAGGCCACUGAUCAGCGAACCCUCCGUUUUGCAACCAGUUUGAAGAAAAACAACUAUUCACUUCACUUCAAACACUCACAAUGAUCAAAUGAACUGCCAAGAACUUUAAGGCUCAAUGGACACUAGAAUCAGUUAAAUGAAGAUGCCAACAAGAAAAACCUACCUUCCUUGUUGCCAAUCGCUUUUUCUGCUCAUUAGUCAAUGUCUAUUUUCUUCCACAUUUCACUAUAAUGUUAUAUAAGUCCUCUCUUGAUAAUAUUAUUACUCCUAAACUCCUCCAUAUAAAUGGAUUCAAAAUCAUAUCUCAGAACCUGCAAAUUAUCCACGGCGUCGUGAGGGAUUUUAUUAUUAUGCUUUUUAAUUUAAAGGGUUACUAUGUCUUUACAUAUAGGCGAGUUUUGGUUUACUCCCUGUAAAAAAAAGUUUAAAUUUCAACCCUGUAAUAUUAAGAUUCUUUCGUUUUAAACCCUCAUAUAAUUUUGACGAUGUGACACGUUGACAGUGUAAUUUUGAUGAUGUGACACGCUGAAUUGGCUUUUAUAUUUCUUUUUCUUUUAAUUUUUUUCCAACUGUUUUUUUAUCAAUUAACAAUUAUUUAAUAAAAACAAUUACAUUUUAAAAAUCAAAUUAGUAUUGUUUUUAUGAUUCUAUAAACACAGGUGAAGUAAAUAUUCUUCAUCAAGUAAUCAUGACAUAAUUGUGAACUACACCCUCCGAUCACUAAUAUAAGCAAAAAUCUAUAUUUUAGGUUUAUUCAUUUAAUGAUAUAUGUGGUCUAUAAUAAAGACCAUGUGCAUCAUUAAAUGAAUGAAUCUAAAAUGUAGAUUUUUGCUUAUAAUAGUGACCGGAGGGUGUAUAUCAAUUCGUUUUAGGUCUGUUUCCGUAUAGGGCACAUUAAUAUCCUAUACGGAAAUUAAUGGGACUUCAAAAACCCUUCAUUGAAACACAUUUUCUCCGUCUCAAUUUAAACUAGACUUUUCACCCGUGAUGUCGCACAGGUCAUAUACAAUGCAAAAACAAUAGACAAAAACAAAAUUAUAUCGCACAGUCGCAACUCAAUAUUAAAAUGUCAGUAACUUUAAAGACAACAAUAAUUUAAGAGAAUGUUGUUAGUAUGCCUCGUACAUGAAAAGAUAAAAUUAAAAUAUAUGUCAAUGCAACCGUGAUUACUGAGCAUUUCCUAUAGAUCAUGUAUUAUGGCUUUGUAUAUAGAAUAUGCAUAUUAUACAUAGGAUUAAAUCUUUGAUUGAAAUAUAGCUAAAUAAUAGAUAAACUUUUUAAAUAAUAGAUAAAACUAAAAUCUCAAAUUCCUUUCUUAUGAUGUAACUGCAUCUUCCAUGAUCAAGCAUAUGAUAGAAAGAUGUUAUUGUAUGCUUUGAAACUAAACUUUAGGAAAUCACCAUAUAGGACUGACAUGCGCAGAUAGACCUUUGAUUACAUAUUUGAUAGAGUUAUAUUAACCAUCCAAUUUGAUAAUAAAAAAUAUUGACCAUCCAAUCACUUAUUUAUCAAUUGGAAAAGCUUGAUAACUUGAUUCAAAUAAUACAUCAGAAUAAAAUGUUUAAGUUUGAAUUUGAUCAAACAUAUAUGACAGAUUUACUAUGUUUCUUAGCAUUAUGUUUGAUUCUUAGCAUACAUAUUAGUUUUCUUUUUCAAACAGUGUUAACAUGCAUAUUAGUUGUUCUCAAACAAAUUGAUAGGUUAUCGAAUAUAUGAAUGUUAAUAUAACUCUGAUUUCAAUAGAAUGAAUGAAAAUCAUUACAGACAUAUUGAAAGACACUUGAAUAAUGAAUAAAAUAAAAAGAAAUCAAAAUUCUUCAUUGAGUUCAAACAUAUUGAUCACGACAAACAUUGGCAGAAUGCUUUAAUAAAAUAGAUAGUUUCUGAUACUCGAAAUAGAAACUUCUAAACCAAAAUUGACAACAUAAUCGACUCAAAACUAUACUUUUCCUGAAGUCUAGUAACAAAAUAGAUAGUCUCGAUACUCUAAAUAGAAAUACCUAAACCAAAAUUCACAACAUAGUCGACUCAAAAAUAUAACAUUUUAUGCAACUUGUACCACUCUUUCAAGCCUAGAUACACAACUGCAUGUACAAUAUUAUAAAAGAAUGACUUACUAACAUGAAUUUCCUCCUGGAUUUGGCAAUUUUUCUGCAAGAUAAAGAAAUGAAAUAAUUGAAAUCAAUAGCUACUCAGAAACUGAAAAUUUCAAUUGAGAAGAAACCAAAAAGUAACAUGCAUUUACAGAUUACGAAAAGAUGAAGAUGAACUGAUUCACAUGAGAAUAAUGAAUAAGAUUGAAUGAGAAGAUGCAUGAUUAUUCUGAGUGAGAAGAAAAAAUUAAUUUGAGAAGGAAUGAUGCCUUUUGGUUUCGUGAUUAUGAGAAUUGGAGUUUUGUCUUUGAGUAGUGAGAGCAUUGAUGGAAAUUACACAACAAAUAGAGUCUUAAACCAUUUUCUCAAAUCAUAAUCCAAGGCUCAUGGUUUUUCUUCUUUGAACCAUAUUUGCAGAACCUAUAAAGUGUAGAUAGAAACAAUCUCAUUAUCAUUAUUACAGAAUAAAAUGAAAUUAAAAGUAAGAAGAGAAUGAGAUAAAAAAAAGUGAAUUUGAUGUUCCCAAUCACUUUGGGAGCAUGCUCUUAAAAAGAGAGUGAUGAGCCUCUUACAUUCCUUGAAAGGAUGGCAGCGACAACACCUUUCAUCCUUCGUCUAUGAAAUCCUCUGUCGUCGUGAAUCUAACUGAAAUCCUCUCCUCUUGGUUCAUUUUUUUCUACCUCGUUUCAUCACAAUAAUGCUAUAAUGAUGGGUGCAAUUAAAUUUAUCUAAAAAAGAUUAACAAAAAGUGAUAAUACAUUAAUACUUUAUGGAAUCAAAUUUGAAUAUCUUCACCCAAAAAUUGCUAAAAACUCAUAUUACAUUAUUAAUAUAAUGAUACAGAAAAUUAUUAUCUCACCAUAAUAGUGUCGAUUUGGAAAUUGAAAACUGAAAACGCUGAAAAAAAAAAAAUCAAUUACUGAACUUUUACUUCUUCAAAAAAAAAAAAUUACUGAACUUUUAACCUUUCAAUUCAUAUUGUACUGUACCAAAAAAACAAAGUGAAUCUUCACACACAAAAUAAACCCAAACUUACUAAAAUUUAUAUAUUAUUGAUCUAAUCCUAUAUAUAAAUUCACUAUAACAUUUGGAAAUUGAAAAGGAUGAAAACUAAAAACUCAAUCAGAACAACAAAUUACUUUCAUUUGUAAUUUAAGAAACCAAUUUUUAGAAGAAAAAUUAAAGACCUAACUAAAUACUUUUUGAACAGCAAAAACAGGGCACUGCUGCUAGGCCAAAACACAAUCGCCUAUACACCAAAACAGCCAAAACCCAUAAGAACAACAUGGCGUUGGUGUAUGAAUUAAAUAAAAUAGAGAAAUUGAGUAAAAGAGCGAUAACAACUACUUGAGAGGAAAAGAGCCAUCAACGACGAUCGGAAACAUUGGACUUGUCUGAGUGUUCCUCGUACUGGCGCAUGGUGUUGGUGUUGAAUGAACGGGAAGCGAAAGAGGCAACGGGAUGAAGAGACCUAGAGAGGAGGCUGCAGGAGAAAAUUCACCGCUGACGGUGGAGGUCGAGUCGACGAAGGCGAGGGAUGAGAGGAGAAAUACGAUUGUGAAAGUAGAGAAGACAUGGAAGAGAGUGAAAGCUUCUCCUCCGCCUCCACAUCUGUCUCCACCUCCGCAAUGUUCAGAAGAUUAGAAAGCUUCUCCGAAUUCACAUUCGGUUUCACAUUCGCAUUUGGGUAUCAGAUAAAGUAGAUGGGAAGGAAACGUGGAUUGGGAAAUUGAGAAGGGGAAAAAAGUGACAAUAGAGAAGGAUUGAGUUUUUUUUUUUUUUGAGGAAGAAAAAGGAAGGAUGAAUGAUGGAAAGGGUUUGAAGGAAAGGAGCAUUUUACGAUCUGUGUUACAAUGCUUUAUUUUUUCAAUGUUAGAAGAUAGUGGAAUGCAUCAUUGGGAAUACGCAAGCUCAUAAUGAAAAUGUGGGAUUUAAAUUUCAAAUAUUUGGAGCCAAAAUUUUUAGGUUUAGGGUUUGGAAUUAGGGUAAGCAUGUUUGCAACCAUUAGAUAUAAAGGAUGUAACAUUUGAAUUGUGCACACGGUUUUUUUUUUAAAUAUUAGUAUUGUUUACUUAUUUCUUUUAUUAACAAUAGAGUGAAAUUCAAUAAAUAAGAGUAUGAAUAAGAGUAUGAGUGAGAAUUGAUUAUGUAGAAUUGAUUUUGGUCAUGUGGUGGGGAGGCAGAAUUGAUUUUGGUUAAGUGAUUCUGACUAAAAAUAAUUUGUGUUUGGAUACAUUACAUUCAUGGUGGCAUUUUACAUGGAAAAAGUUAAUAUUUUUGGCCAUCAAUGUUUUUACCAUGAUCUCUCACCUUGUGCCUUUUUGAGCUUUUGUGGUGGAAUAAGUUGUUAGUUAAUUUAUGUUGACUGGUCAGUUUGUAUAGCUUUCUAUCUUGACCAAGGACUGCUGGUUGGUUUAACUUGCAUCAGAUGUUUUCGGUUGUGGAACUACUCUGCUGAGUUUUUAGUGUUUUAAGUGUAGAGCUACUUUUUUUUACAAGUUUUAGUUUUAAUUUUUUUUAAUGAUCAAAUAACUGUUCUAUGGGUUGACUUUUGAAAUGAAAUCAAUCUCACUUUUGAUUGAUUUUGUGGUCUGGUAGUUGAGUGGUUUGUUCAUGGAUUCUUGAACUUGAUUCCUGAACUUAUUUGAUUGUACAUGGAUUCUUGAACUUUUUUUUUUUGAUAAGGCACAAAAACACUAAAAGGCAGGAUUAGGGACCUGAACCCAUGUACAUAAAAUCAUUACAACAGAUCCAAACUAAGGCAAGGCAAAGUAAAAGCUCACAGAAACUAUAGCAAAAGAAACAUAUCAAAAUAGAAUUCUAGCCAACAACAGCAAUUUCAUUUUUUAUAGGCUUUGGAAAUUCCACUCUUAGCACGGGUGUGAAUGCAAUCAUCUUUCAGCCCUUUUGACUGUUGUGAUUUGUUCUUCUUCUUCUGUUUAUUUGAAACAAAAGGAGUAAACUCCGUAUCUGCAUGACCAUCAUCCACAUCAGUUUGAUCCUCCUUGUCUAUCUGAGCAUGAUCAAUAGAGGAGGUGUCCCCCCCAAAACGUUUUUAAAAUUGCAACACUUCUUAAAGCAGCAUCACUAUAGAUAGGUGCAAUUUUGGUGUCUUUUGGUAUUGUUACCAACAUCUCAGCAUUCCUAUCCUUCAGAUUACUAUGGUGAACAUUUUUAACAGGACAAUGGAUGAGUUCUCCAUUGGGUGGAAAGUGAAAUCAUUCUCUAAGGAAUUAUCAGAUUCUUCAUCAGCAAGGUCUCCCCAAGACUUUGGCAGAAUGCCCACACUGUUCAGAACUGCAGCAUAAGAAGUAAUUGCAGUUUCCAAUCCAAUUUUCACAGGUUCUAAGACAGGAAAAACAGGAAAUUUAUCACUUGUUAGAGAGAUAUGAUUGGUAGUGAUAGGUUGUGGCAAAGGCCUAAUUUCCCAAUCACCAUUAACAGUUUCUGCUGCAUGGGAGCUAUCACAAACAUCCUUCAGUAGAGAAAAUGAAUUAUGAAGAGCCAAUGAAGGAUCCUCAUUCUGAUCUUGAAUAAUGUCAUGUGAAGCACAAGCAUUCCCAUUGACUCCUUCCUUCUCUAUGCUAUCAUUAUGAGACAAGCUGCCUUCAAAUUCCUUGUCUAUAUUCUCAGUAGUAGUGGUGGUGAUGUUAGCAACAUCAACAUCCUCAAUGUGGUGAAUCUCAUGAGAUGUCUCAGAUUGCUUGCCUCCCAAUCUACCUGCUGCAGUGGGUCCUAUUUAUGUUAUAACAGUUUGAGCUUUCUUGUGCACCUUAGCCUUAUCAAUGCCUUCUUUGAUAUUCAUAGGACUUAGUUUCUUGCAAUUUUGAAGAGUAUGGCCUAACAUCUUACAAUGACCACAAUAGGGUGGUUGUUUUUCAUAUUCAAUAGCAAUUGGAAAAGCAUGACCCUCCCUCUCCACUAACACUGAUUCAAACAACCUCCCUGACAUAUCCACGUCCACUAAGACUCUAGCAUACAAUCCAAAUAACCUAGCUUGUGUAGCUUCAUCAAUGGUCAAAGGAGUACCUAUUCCAGAAGCAAUCUCAUAGAGGGUUUUCUUCCUCCAAUACUCCUGAGGGAGAUGCAUCAAUCUAACCCAUACCUGAGCAUGUGUCUGAACUUGGUGUUGUGGGGUGAAAUCCUUGGUCCAGUAGUAAAAUCUCAGUAUGCCAGGCUGCAGAUUUACAACUCUAAGGGCCAAAAUUUUGCGCAUGUCUUCAACAGAGUGGAACUUGAAUUCGAAAAAUCCUUUUCCCAAGGGAAUAACCGACCAGUUUUUGAGACUUGGCCACAAAUCACACAGCUUGAGCUUCAAAGCUUUAGUCGUCAAUGGCGGAUCCCCUUUGUGUAAAGUCAAUCUCCCAUGAAGAUUACUCCUACAAGCUUCAAGUCCAGAUUCAUAUUCAUCCUGAGAUAUCUUCACACUGACAGUGUCACCAAUGUAGACUUUGGGUGGUAAAUUGUUCAAAUGAAUGUCACAAGACGCAGAUAGAGCUUGCGCGAACUUUUUGGUGGAACUUAUUUUCUCCACCACCGCCGUCUCCGGCGGAGCCAAGAAAGGCCAUGGGCAAACCAUUAAAACAACUUAAUACCAGAAAACUACUCACCAAGGCCUCGCUAGAAGAUGGUGGAAUCGCCGGAAAAACGGUAACUGAGAAGCAGCGAAUGACGGAGAAGAACUUGAUUUCAUAGGAAUUAUAAUUUAUAAUAACAUGAUGUGAUUGUCUAAGGUCUGUGAAUUAAUAAGUUGUUUGAAUAUGAAAUUAAUAUUGUUUGAAAUGCUUGUUAGGUGUCUUCGCUCUCAUAAAAAUAAGAGUUGUGUUAUUUGAACAUCCAUAUAUGUGACAACUUUUGUGACAACCAAAAUUUUACAAAGGAAAUGAGUAGUGGCACAAAAACCAAAGCAAUAGAGAGAGAGAGAGAGAGAGAGAGAGAGAGAGAGAGAGAGAGAGAGAGAAAAUAGCUCUAAAAAGUUACUAUAAAAAAUGGUUGUUCAAAUAUCAUUUCUCUAAAAAUAAACCAUGGUCAUCUACUGUUGUUGAGAUAUUUUCAGUAUUCAUUGGUCAAGAAAAGUCAAAAGUUGUGCAGAUUUUUGGUUCAAUUGAAGUGUUUAAUGAUGAUAUAAAACUUUGUGAUAUCUGAAAAUUUGAAAUUCAUACCUAUAUCGGAUGGCUCUCGGGUUUUUGAAGAUUGUAGAUCACUGAAAAUGAAGUUUGACAUUAAGGAUGUUGAGGGUUUCUUAGCCAUCAAAGGCUAUGUGAACUGGGCGGCUUCGGUUCUUGAUUCUUCUUUAUGGUAUGAGAAGCAGUUAUGUAAUUUAAUUCAAUUGUUCUUGAAAUAUGUCGGGUUUAUUAUCUUUUAUAUUUUAAUACGUUUAAUUACAAUGUCAUAUAACAUGCAAUGUAUAUAAGAAUGAUCAAGGGUAAAAAAUGUUGGGCUUAUAAUCUUUUAUAUUUCAAUACAUUUAAACAAUUAUAAAAAAUAUAGUAUAAAUAGUUUUUGCAUCAGACACUGAAUACAUAUUUUUUACAUAUUAUAAAAAAAAUAUACAUUUAAACAAUUAUAAAAAUAAAAUAAAAUUUACAUACUUUUUACAUUCAAAGGUAAUGUAUACAUAUUUUUUACUCAGUAAUAAAAUCUCUACACUAACAUUCUUUUUGAGCAAUAUUCAAGUGGCCGAGUGUUGAUAUUAUAAAUCAAUGCUAAGUUCUUCUCACUAGCGUAUUAUCACUGAUGUUUCCUUUAAGAUAAAUGGCAACACUACUAAAUUCUUUUCCCCAAUAUCUGCACAAACAAGGAAACAUUAAAUAAUCAACAAAAUUAAAAGGCAACGAUUAGGAAUUAUGAAUUGUUGGAUAGUUUGGGGUGCGCUAAACUUGAUUACAACCCAUUCACUAGUGAUUUGAAGUCUGUAUUUCUUUAAAGUGACGCAAAGCACAUUUUCUCUUCAUUCUCGGUGAGCUCGAGCUUCUGUGCAAAAUUUCUUUUUGAGUGUGAAGGCAAAGAUGUUGAAGUUAUGGUUUGUUGUCCAAGAUAAUUGAGACAUGAAAUUAGCUUUAAAAUAUAUUGGACUUAUUAUCUUUUAUAUUUCAAUACAUUUAAUUGCAUUGUCAUAUAACAUGCGAUGUAUAUAAGAAUUUCAAUACAUUUAAUUGCAAUGUCAUAAAACAUGCAAAGUAUAUAAGAAUGAUCAAGUUUUUAAAUACAUUUGAGUAAACUUUUAAAAUGAUCCCUGAAUUUGUUGUAAGGCACUCUCAAUAAACCUUUUUCAAGUUCUUGUUAGUGUUUGGUACUAGUAUAAUGUUUUGGCAACGAAAAUGAUCUCCGAUUUGGUAGUAAGCUCAAAAUUUUAUCUCUAGGAAUAUGAAAAUUUCAAUUUGUUGUUGUUGACUGAAAAAAUACAUGUUGGAGAAGUCCUACAUUAACUACUUAAAUUAUAAAAGAAGAGGUAGAACAAGAUAAACAAGGUUGUUUCGUGAUCUUUGUAAGAAGAACAAGAUGAUUCCUCCACUUGUUUACUUUAUUGCUUGACAAGUCUUGUAGGUGACAAUAUUGUUUCUUGAAGUGCAAGACAAACAAAGUGAUACCUAUAUAUAAGCUCGAUUUCUGUAUUUCAAGAUACAUCAAUCAGAAAUAUUUUAAGUAUAUAUCUGAAUUUUAUCUUUUCUAUUAUACUCUUGCGGUAGAGUGUUGUAGAUAUAGUUUGGUAUUGCUUUGGAGAUUGUGGGUGUAUCGGGGUCAAUGGAGUGUUUGACUAGUCUAUGUGUUGUAAAAGUUUGCAUAUAGUAUUAUUUUCUAGUUGUCAUUGGACAAUGAUCAUAGUUUCGUCUCCGCUUUUUGAAGUUUCUACCUAUGUUGUGAUUGUGUUUCUUUAUUUUCUCUAUGUUGAUCUUUUCCAACACAAUUUUGUCUUCAACUAUGAAAAAUGUUUCUCAAAUAUAUCCUUCUAUGAAUGUCUAUUACAAAAUAUUAUGAAUAUUAGUGAUGAUGUAUUGAUUAAAUGUAUUUUUAACGGUCUUCAUCUCAGAGAGAAUAGUACAAUAUUUGACAGUGUAAAAAGAUGACAAUUAUCUAACUCCACGUGUGAUAAUGUGCACCGUGAGAAACUAAUAGUUCUCGUCUCAUAACCACUUCACGUAUGUCAAUAAAUACUUUGACCAUUAAUAUUUUUAUUUAUCUAAAAUACAAAAUUAUAAAAAAAUUAUUGAGUCAUCGAACAACAUAUUUUAUAUUAACAUUGUAUUUAUGUAUUAAUUAAAAAAUAUAAUCAAAGUAAGUAAUAUCAAUAUCAGACGUAAUCAAAUUGCAACUUAUUUUUUCUCACAAAAUAUUCAUAUGAUUUAUGAUCAGCUGACCUUAUUAUUAUAUUAUUUUUUGACAAAAAGAGUUGACAUUCUUGAAGUUUUUUGUUCGCGUUAAAAUAUUUCCAUCUUUUUUUUUUAUGACAGUAUUUUCAUUCCUUUAUGGAUUAUCAUGGCAUACAUUCACAUUAUAAAAUAUAAUCCGUCUGGGCAAAUGAACAAUAAUGGUGUUAUCGUAAGUACUUACAUAUAAAAAAAAAAAACUUAUCGUAAGUAAGUACUCUAUGUAAUAUGUACUACAACAAAGUAGUACAGUACGUAAUCUUAUCUCAAUUGUACUACUAUCUACCCAGCUAAUUAGAGAAGGUCAACUAUAUAUUUAUCAACUGUUUUUUUUUCGAAACAACUAACUAUGCUUUUGAAGUGUAAACAAUUUGGUAUUAGUAGUUUUGUAAACGGAAGAAAAAAAAAUAAAGAGAUUUUAUAAACUAGUUUAAAUAUUAAUAUUCAAUAGAUUGUCUAAUGUGAACUUCCUAAAAAGGUUUAAAGGUGGACAUUUACCGUUUUAAGUAGUAAAUUUUAAUAAAAGAUUGAAUUUCUUCCUUUAUUUUUUAGAAAAUUCAAUACCUAUUUACAGAAAAAGUUCGUGUUUGAAUAUUCAAUAUGUUCACAUUUGAAUAUAUUUUUUAAUAGAAAUUAAGAGUUUAUCUAAUAGUAAAAAGUUUCAAGUUUGAGUAUUAAUUGUAUAAAAAAAAAUGUAUUUGAAACGAAAAAUCCAUUAAAGAUGGUUAAUCAAUCAAUGAUGAAGUUUGAGCAUCUUCUUUACCAUGGUAGAAAAAUAAACAUUACCUAUUCUAUAUUUUUAUAAACAUAAUUUUAUCAAAGUGAAGGAGUUCUCUAAGAAGUCUCAAACCAAUUAUGACAUAUUCAACCUCAAAUUCUUUGUAAAGCAAGAAAGAGAAUUACACCAAACAGAAAAAAACCAAACCAGAGUUUCCUCCAAUUCCUUACUUAUUAUAAAUCAAGACAAGACAAAUAUUUGAUUAAUUUAACCUACCACCUUAAGCCAAUUUGGCACAAUAAAGGCUCUAACUCAUUAUGAAAUUUGUCGUUCGUUGUCUCAAAUGCAGCUACACACAUGUUACGUUGUCCUGAGAAGAUUUCGUGUAUAAUUAUUACCAUACAUGUUACAAACUUAUUGGUAUUAUUUUGGCAGAACAAAACUCUUAUUGGUAUACUUAUGGAUGUAUAUAAUUUUUUUUAAAGGGGAUGUAGAUAAUAUUUUGUACACCAAUAUUCAUUCAAUAUCUCAUUUUUUUCCCCUCUAUAUCUUCUCAUUACAUCAUAAAUCUAUCGCAUAUAUAACAUCGAUCUUAUUAUAUAUGUGCACACACCAAAUACGUUCUUAUUUCUUUCUUUCUCUUUUACGAGAGGCAAGUGUACGUUCUUCUAGGUUAAAAUGGAAAAGUGUACGUUCUUUUUGCUUUGGUAAAAAUUGAAAAGAAAAAUGUACCUGGAUCGGAUGGUUUUUUUCUCCAACAAGAAAAACACAUGGACUCAGCAGUGCUAAGCAUUUUCCUAUAUAACAAAAGACGUGAAAUGAGCUAUAACUAAUAAUAUGAAAAUUUGCUGGGAGCCACUUGUAAGAAAAAUGCUUAAAUUAUUUAUUAUUAUAUUAUAUAUACUAUAUAGUAAUAUGGUAACUGCUGUUAGCAUCACCAUAGCCAGCCCUAAAUGUCUGACUUUUCUAUAUAUACAUACAGGAUGCAGAUCAUAGUGCAGUUUGAAACUCUCUCUCUCUCUUCACACAAAAGUGUAUGAUGAUGAAGAGCCACACAUUCCUAAGGAUCAUUUUUCUUUUUAUGUUUCUUGGAUGGCUAACAGUUUGGAUCUUGUUGCCCACAAAGGUCUACAAAAACACAUGGACUCCCAAGCUAGAAAUCAAGCUCAAUUCUACAUACUUUAGAGAGCAAGGUUAGGGCUUAUUUUAUAAUUUUCUAAUUAUUAUGAAGAAAAAAAAUAUAUAAUUAUUCAACCUAUAUACUUCCAUAUAUAAGAUUAUUGAUUUAUUAUUUUGUUUAAGGGGUAAAUAUUCUGCUUUUCACAUUCCCUAUCAUGUUCAUUGGAGCUCUGGGUUGUAUAUAUCUCCAUCUUCAUCGUGAGAAAACAACACAAAAGUUACCCUCCACAAGGUUAUAUAUAUGUUACCCUAGCUAGCCUUUAAUUAACUACUUUGAAUCUUUAAUUAAUUACCUAAACUAUAUAUGUUUUUGUUUCAGUACUGGCGCUCUAAAAAAAUGUUUAUGUUUCCUGAGACGUCCAUUCCUGGUGAUGCCUACAAUUGGAAUUGUUUCAGCUAUGGAGCUUAUUUUUGCAAUCAUGUUUGUUGCACUUUUGAUAUGGUCCCUUUACAAUUACUUAAGUAUCAGUUUUGCUCACCUCCAUAUGCACAAAGAAGGCGAAAAAGUGUAAAUAAACUUUUCUUUUAACUUCAUGUUAAUUUUUUUCUUAACCAUCCGAUUCUUAGAGUCUGGAGUUCGUCAAAGACAAGGAAGUAAAUAAAGUAAAUUAUUCUAUUAAAUUGGAAUUUGGAUUUUUCCAAACGUUCUUAAUUAAUGAACUUUUACAUAUAGCUAAAUUAAAAUGAUUAUUGAUCAAACUUAAUUUACUUUCCGAUGGAAUCCUAGAUUACGAAAACCAUUUCACUUAGAGGAGAAUUGGGGGUUAAAAUAAAUUGCUUUGUUAACAAUUAAUUAACCUGAAUGGAAAAAAAUACUAACUAUAUAUUGAUGAUUAUUGGUGUUUGUAGAUGGGAAGCGAAGUUCAGGAGUGUAUUUUUGAGACUAGGUUACAUAGGAAACAUAUGUUGGGCAUUUUUGUUCUUUCCGGUUACAAGAGGGUCUUCCAUUCUGCGUCUUGUUGGACUCACAUCUGAGUCAAGCAUCAAAUAUCAUAUCUGGCUUGGACAAUUAUCUAUGGUUCUUUUUGCUGCGCACACCAUAGGUUUUUUCAUAUAUUGGGGCAUCACCAAUCAAAUGGUUGAGGUAUAUAUAUAUAUAUAUGUUUCUUUAUAAAAUAUAUAUGUGUGUGUUUUUAAUGUGCAAUCUUAAUUUAAUUACCCGCAAAUAGAUCGAGGAAAAAGAAAUUAAGGUUCUUAUAAAUAGGCCCUUUGUUUAUGCUAUGCAUUUGAGGUCCCAUAAUGGCAAGGAAUCAACCGUCUCUUUCUGAUUGGAAUUGAGCAUGAUAUAUACUGUCCCUUCAUUUGGACAACAUUGAUGAAGUUCGUUAUUAUCUAAGCUAGUUUUUUUUUUUUUUUUUAGAGGUAGUAUAUCUAGUCUAGAUCUUUAACAUAAAUUAUAUUUGUCGCUAAUUAUAAUUAUAGGACUCAUUUCCAUAUCUGUUGUCUCUCAAAAUUUCACAUGCAUUAAUAACUUAAUAACAAAAAAAAAUAAAAAAAAAUCAAUCUCUUACCACGGCCCUAAAAGUGAUCAAUUAUUGUCUUGUAUUUCCAAAAAUAAUAAAAUUGUCAAAAGGCCAAUGUAAAAAUCUCUCAACACUAUUAGAAAUUUAUCUUCUCUCCGUCAAAAUGACUCAUUUUUACAAGUCUAUUUUCUCAUUAUUAACAAUUAAAAAUAACACAAAUUUUCAGAAAUAAAAAUAGAAAAUGCGCAUUCACAAAGAAAACGGGCUUAAUUAAUGGCUCAUUAGUUCAUAGUUAACAAUAAAGGGAUGGCUUGAGUGGAAACACCAAAAUAAUCUUCAAAGAAUUCUCCCUCAAAAAUUCUUCAAAGUAUUCAUUCAUUUUAGGGACCCAAUAAUUAAGAUUAGGGUUAAAUAGAUUCGGUCCCUAUGUUGUUUUUGGUUCUCGUAAAAAGAAAGUGAUAUGUUUCCGUUCUUAUAAAAAAAAAUUAAAUACAUGAUUUUAGUUGUUGUGAAAUUAAUAUUUGUAUAAUUAUGCUUAAACUUUUAAAUUUUUAAUGAUUUUUUGCAUACUUAUUUAGAACAUUAUAUAAAGUUUAUCUACAAAAAAUUAGCUCAAAAUUUGAUUUUUAUGUCUAAUUUUCAUUACUUUAAUCUUGAAAUUUUUGUGUUUAGAAAAAUUCAUAUUUAAUUCAUUACAUGUUAAAAAAAAUAUUAUUUUUUAUAAUAAAGUUUCUUAUAAUGUUUUUAAUAUGCCUGUAAAAAAUCAUUCAAAAAUUUAAAAGUUUAGGCAUAAACCAAAUUUUAGUUUAACAUAGACUAAAAUUGUGUGCUAAAAAAAUUUAUAGGGACCAAAAUAUGUCACUUUUUUUUAGGAGAAUUAAAAACAAAAUUCGUUAUAUUUUUAGAGACCAAAAACUUAUUUAAGUAGCGAGAAGAUUUCUUUUUUCUUUUUCCAAAGAGCCGUCACGUUACAAACUAAGACACACUAAGUGGGGAGAAGAGGUAUAUUGUGGCUUUGAAGAUGCACCUUAGCAACCAAAAAUGUCGCCACAUAACUUUACAUUUGAGUUGCACUUAUGAGACACUAGUGUGUGGCCCAACUUUUAAGUUUGUCUUCUCCCAAAAAGUAGAAGUUGGUUCUAACACAUUUUUAUAGAAGCUCUUAAAAUGAAAAGGAACUUAAGAAUUACACUGAAAAAUUUAUAGAAAGGAGCUCUCAAAAUAAUAUGAACUUUUUCAUAACUUCUCGGCUCAUACACAAACAGCCUACGCUUCGAUUCUUGUCAAUGACAUCAUGUAAUGUAUAUCUUAUUAUAUUUUCGUUUUUCUGAUGGCACAUUCUUUUUUCAGUGGUACGUCAUUGUUAAAAUAUUUACAUCGUUGUUUAACCAUAACCGCCAAAUGUUAAAUCAUCAUAAACAUUCUAGUUUUUUUAUCUUAACCAUCUCUAAAGUCACACAUAUGAUUGAUUGUAAUGCGUUGAUAGUGUAAAACUUUUUACAUUACACGAAAAUUAAACAUAUGAAUUAAUGUGUUAGUUCCAAUCAUGCAUAUAUAUAUCUAAAAAUAUAAUUUGAUUUCCCAGGCGUUAGAGUGGAGCAAGACAUAUGUAUCCAAUGUAGCUGGAGAGAUUGCAAGUUUAAUAGCAUUAGCUAUGUGGAUAACAAGCAUUCCACAAAUAAGGCGCAAGAUGUAUGAAGUAUUCUUCUACACUCACCAUCUCUACAUUCUCUAUAUCUUAUUCUAUGCCAUCCAUGUUGGAGUUGAAUACAUGUGUAUGAUUGCUCCUGGGAUUUUCCUAUUCCUCAUUGAUAGACACCUUAGAUUCUUACAAUCUCGCCAACAUGCUCGGUUACUAUCAGCUCGCCUUUUACCUUGUGAUGCCCUUGAGCUCAACUUCUCCAAGGAUCCUAGUAAGACAAUACAAAAUUUAUUUCUAAUAUAUAAUUGUUAUAUGCAACACCGACACUUUGGAUUGAGGCAUGUCUAGUAUCCGGACAUUGACACGACUCUGACACAUGUCGUCACAUUCAACCACUUCCAUUUUUUAAAUUAUUAUCAGCGUGUCAAUGUCAAUAUUGUGUAUGUGUCAGUGUUUCACAUAUAAAACACAACUUCUAUUUCAUUAACUUAACCAAGUUUGCUAACAAAGUUAUCAUUUUUUGUUUACUUUUCCUAACUUCAGGUUUAUACUAUAACCCCACAAGUUUGGUGUUCAUAAAUGUUCCAAAGGUUUCCAAGCUGCAAUGGCACCCUUUUACGGUGUCUUCUAGUUGUAAUUUGGAGACGAACUGCCUUAGUGUUACAAUUAAAAAUGUGGGCAGCUGGUCAAACAAGCUUUAUCAAGAACUUUCUUCUUCAUCUUUGGAUCAUCUUAAUGUCUCAGUUGAAGGACCCUAUGGACCACAUUCUGCUCAGUUUCUAAGGUAAAUUUGGCAGUACUCGUAUAUAUACUGUGUAUAUGAAGGGUUUGAGUCUAUUGUUUUAUAGUUCUAUCUUAUGAAUCAUGUUGUGUUGAGUGCAUGGCUCAUAGUCAUAUCUGUGAAAUCCGGAUAGACGUUCAUAGUUAAAACGCUGGUUGUGUUUAUGCUGCAAACAUUUAUACAUGGUAAAAUAAGGGAAAAUUAUGGUUGCGGAUUGCAAUUUAAAACUACUGGAGCAGGCGGAGUAGUGAAAAGUAAAACCUAGCCGCUCUGCUCCUAGGAAUGUAGUCACAUUGUUCAUAAAUCUAGGCUGUUUUUGUUUUACAUUUUACUGUCUUUCUUUAGAUUUCGGUUUCUAUUUUUGCAACAAAUCAGUUUUCAAUUGAAAGAUAAUUUAUCAUCAUUAUAUCUCUAAAACAGGCAUGAGCAGAUUGCAAUGGUGAGUGGUGGAAGUGGCAUAACUCCAUUUAUAUCUAUAAUCCGUGAUCUCAUAUUUCAAAGCCAACAACAAGAAUUUCAACCUCCAAAACUCCUACUUGUUUGUAUUUUCAAAAACUAUGUUGAUCUAGCCAUGUUAGAUCUUAUGCUUCCUGUUUCUGGUUCAACAACUCAAAU